rnacentral:rRNA from 2 species
CAUAGGGGGAAUCGUAUACAUGCAAGUCGAGCGAAUCGAUGGGAGCUUGCUCCCUGAGAUUAGCGGCGGACGGGUGAGUAACACGUGGGCAACCUGCCUAUAAGACUGGGAUAACUUCGGGAAACCGGAGCUAAUACCGGAUACGUUCUUUUCUCGCAUGAGAGAAGAUGGAAAGACGGUUUACGCUGUCACUUAUAGAUGGGCCCGCGGCGCAUUAGCUAGUUGGUGAGGUAAUGGCUCACCAAGGCGACGAUGCGUAGCCGACCUGAGAGGGUGAUCGGCCACACUGGGACUGAGACACGGCCCAGACUCCUACGGGAGGCAGCAGUAGGGAAUCUUCCGCAAUGGACGAAAGUCUGACGGAGCAACGCCGCGUGAACGAAGAAGGCCUUCGGGUCGUAAAGUUCUGUUGUUAGGGAAGAACAAGUACCAGAGUAACUGCUGGUACCUUGACGGUACCUAACCAGAAAGCCACGGCUAACUACGUGCCAGCAGCCGCGGUAAUACGUAGGUGGCAAGCGUUGUCCGGAAUUAUUGGGCGUAAAGCGCGCGCAGGUGGUUCCUUAAGUCUGAUGUGAAAGCCCACGGCUCAACCGUGGAGGGUCAUUG